rnacentral:rRNA from 1 species
GACGAACGCUGGCGGCGUGCCUAAUACAUGCAAGUAGAACGCUGAAGGAGGAGCUUGCUUCUCUGGAUGAGUUGCGAACGGGUGAGUAACGCGUAGGUAACCUGCCUGGUAGCGGGGGAUAACUAUUGGAAACGAUAGCUAAUACCGCAUAAGAGUAGAUGUUGCAUGACAUUUGCUUAAAAGGUGCAAUUGCAUCACUACCAGAUGGACCUGCGUUGUAUUAGCUAGUUGGUGAGGUAACGGCUCACCAAGGCGACGAUACAUAGCCGACCUGAGAGGGUGAUCGGCCACACUGGGACUGAGACACGGCCCAGACUCCUACGGGAGGCAGCAGUAGGGAAUCUUCGGCAAUGGACGGAAGUCUGACCGAGCAACGCCGCGUGAGUGAAGAGGGUUUUCGGAUCGUAAAGCUCUGUUGUAAGAGAAGAACGAGUGUGAGAGUGGAAAGUUCACACUGUGACGGUAUCUUACCAGAAAGGGACGGCUAACUACGUG